CUGCUGAUAGGUGCUGCUGUAAGGAGAGAGGGGGACCUCCAUCAUGUCGAGCUGGCUCUGCUCUGGCAGCAGUUUAGUGUAGGUGUCCAGCAGAGAUCUGUGUGUAGACUCCAGGGUGGUGGUGGUGGCGUCAGCGGGUGGCCUGGUGAAGCCUUGCUUCUGUUUCCUGUAGAGUUGCUGGAGCCUCUGGUUCCUCCGGUCCGACUCCUCCUGCUGGCUGCGCCGCUCCUCCGUCUGCCUCCGUCGCCGCUCCGUCUGCUGCCGUGAGAUGUACUGGCGCACCGCAACAGAGUCGUAGUGGCGCUUUCUUCUGGCCGGCUCGGGUUUGAGGGCCUCCGUGGAGGAGGAGGAGGAGGGUUUGGCUGGACCGCCGGUGUGAUUGACUCCGCUGCAGCUGGAGUGCGCCGCUGCUCCUCUAGAGGUGACGGGCUUCUGGUCGAACUUCUCCACAUGCUUCCCAGGAGACGGAUCCAUCUGAAGGUCGUCCAGGAUGCCUUGGAAAUCAGCUGAGAGCUGCAGGCAGGAGACUACAGGACUCUUCCCAUCUUCAGCUUUCUUGCCUUGGUUUAGAUUAUCUUGCACUGGUGCACCGCUAGGUGGUCGCUCCAAAUUACCUGAAAAAAUAUUUUUAAAAAUCCAUUUAAUUUAUUAGCAUCAAUGCUUUAUUGUAAAAGUUAUUUCAAUUUCACUUAGUCAUUUGGAAUCCAACUGCAGCCACAGCUUUAGCAUUGGAGACUGCUUCACGGUGCCACCAAAUCCAGUGCUAAGGAUCAGCAUAUUAAAGCCCUCAAAAAAAUAUCAACACACAUGCUUUCUUCUCAAGCAUCAACACAUUUAAAGGUAAAGGUGCGUCUUAGUAGCCCCUUUCUUCUCAAGCAACAACACAUUUAAAGGUGAGGUGCGUCUUAGUAGCCCCUUCAUGACAAGUUCCCUGAAACUGGCAGUCGCCAUUGUAUUGCCACUCUCCUUGUACAACAUAUGGGUGUUUACAAGUGCAACCUCUAUGAUAUGAUAUGAUAUAUGAUAUGAACAUUUAAUUUCAUUUCAUUGUGCUCAUAGAUGUAAAAGUAUCUUAGAAAUCUCCUCCACUCUAUUGAGUGUUUUUCUGCUGGUUUUCGCACUAGUUUAUUUAUGAGCAGGUUGUCAUAUAGGGGGGUGGAGAGGGUGGAGACAGUGAUGCGGUAAGUGGUGGAUGUUUCUUCAGGCUGCAGUUUCAAAGCAUGGAGUUGAGGGGGCAUGCCCUUCUUGUUCAUGUGAAUAGUGCCAUGCUUGCUGCUCUUUUGCUGGUGGAGCUUUUCAAAAAGAGCAGAAGAGGUGUAACGGCUGUCAGUACACACAGUGUGUCCCUUCCUUCCCCACACCUACAGCCAAUAGCCAGAGCCCAGUAGUCCUUAUAGGCAAAUCUUUCCACCCUGCAGUCAUCUUGACAAUACCUAAGCUAUGUCGGGCACACAAGAUCAGGUUCCUACCCUAUCAACUGCUGGAACCGGUUUCUGUUUUAAACACACGUGGAGCCCAAAGAACCUUCUCAGGUCCUCCAACUAUCAGAGAUCUGAGGAUUUCUAGUCAGUCUGAUACUUAUUUGGAUAGCUAAAAACACCUCAAUGUCAGCUUUAUUAAAGUGCUUGACGUCAUCAUUAAAUUCACUAUUCAGUAAUCUCCAUUGGACAUCAGAAGGCAAGGUCAACAUCAACAGUACGGGAAGAAUUUGGGGUAUUUAGACUAACUUUCAGCCAUAUAUGUAGGCAAAAUGUUCACACGGAGAAACUGUGAUUUCACGCUUUGAGAAUGCCAUAAUGUCAUGAAUGUACUUGAAAUGUACUUGAACAUUUCCAGAAAAUUCUUUCUAAUGUUAGGUCUUCUGAAUUCUGCUGAUCCAUUUCACACUAGCUUGUUUAAGAAGAGAAUAAAGGAAGAGCCCAAACCUGUCCUGGCCCUCCGAUCUCCAGACUCCGACAUGAAGGUGCGCUGGGGCCCCAAACCUGUCCUGGGCCCCCUGGCCUCUCCAGACUCCGACAUGAAGGUGCGCUGGGGCUGCAGUGGAGGACCUAGGAUCAUAUUCACCACCUUCUGCCCUUCACGCCAUGUGGACGUACUGAUGGAUGCUGGGAGAAAAAAACUGCAUUAGUUUCUAUAUGGGACUUGAGUUUCGUGCAAAUUGAAUAUGAGACACUAAUGUGCAU
ensembl:lncRNA